rnacentral:rRNA from 1 species
UACGUAGGGGGCAAGCGUUGUCCGGAAUUAUUGGGCGUAAAGAGCGCGUAGGCGGUCCGAUAAGUCGGCUGUGAAAGUCAGGGGCUCAACCCUUGGAAGCCGGCCGAUACUGUUGGACUAGAGUCCGGAAGAGGCGAGUGGAAUUCCCGGUGUAGUGGUGGAAUGCGUAGAUAUCGGGAGGAACACCAGUGGCGAAGGCGGUUGCCUGGAGCUUUGCUGACGCUGAGGCGCGAAAGCGUGGGGAGCGAGCCGG